AACGAACGCUGGCGGCAUGCCUAACACAUGCAAGUCGAACGAGACCUUCGGGUCUAGUUGCGCACGGGUGCGUAACGCGUGGGAACCUGCCCUUAGGUUCGGAAUAACUCCCCGAAAGGGGUGCUAAUACCGGAUAAUGUCUUCGGACCAAAGAUUUAUCGCCUUUGGAUGGGCCCGCGUUGGAUUAGCUAGUUGGUAGGGUAAAAGCCUACCAAGGCGACGAUCCAUAGCUGGUCUGAGAGGAUGAUCAGCCACACUGGGACUGAGACACGGCCCAGACUGCUACGGGAGGCAGCAGUGGGGAAUAUUGGACACUGGGCGAAAGCCUGAUCCAGCAAUGCCGCGUGAGUGAUGAAGGCCUUAGGGUUGUAAAGCUCUUUUACCCGGGAUGAUAAUGACAGUAACGGGAGAAUAAGCACCGGCUAACUCCGUG
rnacentral:rRNA from 1 species